AAUAAGAGAGUAACUCAAAAACUGAAUAGAAUUCAAUCGAAGUUAUGGAAUCAUGUGUGAAUCAUGAACGGUACGGCCACUGUAAUGCGGAGUGAACCUUAUAUAUGUCACUGGGAAACUGGGAAGACGAGGGGAGCGUUGAAGCAAAGUCAGGAUACUUAUUUCGAUGGUGUUGUCUCC
rnacentral:ncRNA from 2 species